GAUGAACGCUGGCGGCGUGCCUAAUACAUGCAAGUCGAGCGAACGGACGAGAAGCUUGCUUCUCUGAUGUUAGCGGCGGACGGGUGAGUAACACGUGGAUAACCUACCUAUAAGACUGGGAUAACUUCGGGAAACCGGAGCUAAUACCGGAUAAUAUUUUGAACCGCAUGGUUCAAAAGUGAAAGACGGUCUUGCUGUCACUUAUAGAUGGAUCCGCGCUGCAUUAGCUAGUUGGUAAGGUAACGGCUUACCAAGGCAACGAUGCAUAGCCGACCUGAGAGGAUGAUCGGCCACACUGGAACUGAGACACGGUCCAGACGCCUACGGGAGGCAGCAGUAGGGAAUCUUCCGCAAUGGGCGAAAGCCUGACGGAGCAACGCCGCGUGAGUGAUGAAGGUCUUCGGAUCGUAAAACUCUGUUAUUAGGGAAGAACAUAUGUGUAAGUAACUGUGCACAUCUUGACGGUACCUAAUCAGAAAGCCACGGCUAACUACGUG
rnacentral:rRNA from 1 species